CCUACGGGAGACAGCAGUGAGGAAUAUUGGUCAAUGGACGAGAGUCUGAACCAGCCAAGUAGCGUGAAGGAUGACUGCCCUAUGGGUUGUAAACUUCUUUUAUAUGGGAAUAAAAUGUUCCACGUGUGGGAUUUUGUAUGUACCAUAUGAAUAAGGAUCGGCUAACUCCGUGCCAGCAGCCGCGGUAAUACGGAGGAUCCGAGCGUUAUCCGGAUUUAUUGGGUUUAAAGGGAGCGUAGGUGGAUUGUUAAGUCAGUUGUGAAAGUUUGCGGCUCAACCGUAAAAUUGCAGUUGAAACUGGCAGUCUUGAGUACAGUAGAGGUGUGCGGAAUUCGUGGUGUAGCGGUGAAAUGCUUAGAUAUCACGAAGAACUCCGAUUGCGAAGGCAGUUCACUGGACUGCAACUGACACUGAGGCUCGAAAGUGUGGGUAUCAAACAGGAUUAGAUACCCCAGUAGUC
rnacentral:rRNA from 1 species